rnacentral:rRNA from 1 species
UACGGAGGGUGCUAGCGUUGUUCGGAAUCACUGGGCGUAAAGGGCGUGUAGGCGGUUUGUUAAGUCUGAUGUGAAAUCCCCUCGCUCAACGAGGGAACUGCGUCGGAUACUGACAAACUUGAGUACCGGAGAGGAAGGUGGAAUUCCCGGUGUAGCGGUGAAAUGCGUAGAUAUCAGGAGGAACACCGGUGGCGAAGGCGGGUCUCUGGGCCGAUACUGACGCUGAGGAGCGAAAGCGUGGGGAGCGAACAGG